AUGACACCAAGUCCACAGAAUGCACCGGGACCUGGUGGGCCGGCCAUACCUCCAUGGCGCAUUCCACGUCCCUGGCCUGGACCACCACAUGGGCCCUCGAGGAGAGGUAGAGCUCAGGUGAGCAGGAGCCUGCAUCCCGUAGGCUGUCGUAGAGGCGGGUGUGGAAGAGGCCAGGGAGCAGAGCAAGCAGGAUGUGGAACAGGACUGCCACUAGGGCGAAGGCCACCAGAAGUAUCAGCCACAGCCUGGCAGGUCACUGCUCCAGGUGACUGCUAGGGCCUGCAGGCCCCUACUAGGUUGCUAUCACCAGGACUGCUGUCCAAGACGGCACCUACCCUAUGCAGGUGAUGGAAACGCCCGUGGGUCUGCAGAAGCUCGAGCACGUAGCCGUACAGCAUGGCGCCGGCGUUGCUGACCACGUGGGAGAGCAGGAGGUCCCGCUCAGUCCCAUAAGCAAACUGCAGCUCCAGCUCCUUCUGGGCCAACACGGAGAAGACCAUGUAUCCUGGGACCUCGUAUCGGAUCGCGAUGCAGCCCCUUUUCCAGUAGAUGGCGCUGUACUUGACCAGCUUCUUGUCCCUACAGCGCCCCCUAGCCCAAGAGAAUCGCCGCAGGCUGUGCAUCCUGGCCUCCUUCCCACCUUGUCCCCUCCGCGUGCACAGUUCGUCAAGAAAUCUUCGGAGGAAGGGGUCAGCUCCCUUGAACUCACAGGUCAGGCAAGAAGAGGGCGGUGUGUGCCCAAGCGCCUCGAGGACUGCCACCGACACCGCAGGUGCCUGCAUCUUACCCCAGCCAGUCGGCAGCCGGGUCGGGGCAAGGCGAUACCCAUUCCUGGUCGUCCGCCUCAGGCUCAGAGCUCGCCCUUGCCUGCUGCCCUACGACUGCACUGAGGCUCCGGGUGAUUUCAAAGCUUCUGACGCCCAGCCCACUCCAGCCGCAGCUCGGACAAGGUCAGCCGCUUCUUCAAGGCGGAGACUGUCCUGUCCUUACAGGGUGCGUAGCAGCACCCAUGGUGUCUGCCCACCAGCUGCCACGUGCAUUUUCCAACAGUCCCAGAUCACCGCCGGGCACCGAGCAAGCGUGCCCUGGGUGAAAUGACACCCAGUGGAAAACUCGCCUUUCCCUUCAGCAAGAAAGCUCGCUCCGUGUCCACUCCCAGCCUCAGGUUCCCCAUGCUGGGCCGAGGCCUCUGUCUCCUCUAGGGGAGCCGGGUCAUGGUACACCGGGCCUUCCAGGAAUCGGCUGCGUCUGCCUGGUUCACGGCCAGAGCCUCCGGCCACUGCCUGCCGUGUAGCAGGUGCCCGGGGGAUAUUGGUGGAAUCGAACUGAACUCACCCACAACAAAAAUGGCUGUCUGCAUAACCGUGGUGGACAUGGGGACUGAAUCGAUUUUCAUGUUACUUCAAGCCCCAAAGCCUGGGAGUGAUGCUGACCGCUGUCCCCUAGGAAGACGGUGCCCUCCUCACUGGCCCAUCCUGAACCUCUCUGAACCCUUGGUCAUCUCCCUGGGCGCUGGACUGCCCAGAAGGCCUCCCCAUGUCCCCCCUCCCCCAAACUCCCCAGUGGAUUUGCUGAUCGCUGGAUCAGGGGACUCUGAAUCCUAACACUCUAGAUAUUCUGACUCUAAAGGCUGUGACAGAGGAUCCUGUGUUACUGUAACUCCGUAAGACUUCUCCUUGGGGGGUUUCCUGUCACUGUUACUUUACUUGAUAAACUGUAGCCACACGCUGAUGACCUGAUUUCUUAUCAACUAGGUUUCACGCUGUGUAACAAACAUGGGUAUACUGAAA
rnacentral:lncRNA from 1 species